rnacentral:sRNA from 1 species
ACCCACAGUGUAGCCACGGGCAAUUCCGCUACGCCCUUCCACAACUGCUGUGCCCUGCUCUCCAUCUUCUUCAUAUCUGAUAUUAAAAUCACUUCCCAGCCCUUGCCAUGUCCUAUGUGAACGAAGAAACUCAGCGCCUGGAGAGAGGACUCCGUUUAUAGUUGCCAGGUCAGCGUUUUGUCGCUUUGCAAGAGCCCUUGAUCCUCCAGCUCGUCCGGAUAGUCCUGAUGUAUUAGAAGAAGCUAGAGACGGUUGCAGCGGGCGGGUACUCGAAACCGAGAUAUAACGCCCGGUGCGCAAAUCAAAUUCCGGGGGAGCUGACUCUUCCUCAGAUGAUUCAUUACCACUGGCGUCUCUAGUAGGCCGGUCAUUAGCAUUCGCAAUGUCCAGAACCGUCUGGUAAUCGCUCUGCCAUUCGCCCGUCCAUACGCGAUCCACAUCGCCCUUUAAUGCAAGUUCCAACUCAAAGGGUGUAAUCACAGGUUUCCAGAAGUCACUGCUAUCCACGAGUGAGCUCUCCCAGCAUCCGAUUACAACCCAGCCACCUAUUUCACUAAAAUUCGCUACCUUGGCCGCAUUCAGUUUGCCAACGACAAACGUGUAACUCUUCUUGCCAGCGGCAGCGAUCUGGGCCUUGACAUGCUCCACUACAUGAAGGUAGUUUUUGACGCUUAACGUAUUUAUCAGGAUUCCGAAGACGGAAACUGUGCUAAGGGAAGUUAGAAUGGCGUAUCUGCGCCGCAGCGAGAUAGCUGUGGAAACGAGGAGUGGUUUUUUAGAUCCUGAAACAGGCUGCUCUGAUUCCUCGUCUGUCGGAUAGAUGUGGAUAGCACCAACUCGAGAUGAAAGUGUAAGAAGAAGUGC